UCUCUCACUUGUAACAUGGGCUGAGCUCCUCAAAGAAAACUGAUGUAAACAGAAGGUUAAAAAGAAAUGCACAAAACUGAUGAAUGUUGGCAAAGAUACAAAGAACAGGUUGUAAUGGCCGGAGUCUGGAGCCUUCUGGUGCCUCAGAAGCAGGACUCGAUGUCAAGCCUCUAGGACAUCCCCCUGUGAGGGCUGCAGCUGCAGCACAGAAGCCUUUGGGAGAACAUGGAUCUGGAGCUCAGAAUUAAGUGUAGUUCCUCAAAGAAUCAUUUCAGCAAUGUAAGUUGUAGCUGUCAGAAGACCACAACAUUUGUACAGUUAUGGUGGUACCAGUUUGGAAAAAUACUUCAG